UACGUAGGGGGCAAGCGUUGUCCGGAUUUAUUGGGCGUAAAGAGCUCGUAGGUGGUUCUGUAAGUCGGAUGUGAAAUCUCCAGGCUCAACCUGGAGGGGUCAUUCGAUACUGCCGUGACUAGAGUUCGGUAGGGGAGUGUGGAAUUCCUGGUGGAGCGGUGAAAUGCGCAGAUAUCAGGAGGAACACCCGUAGCGAAGGCGGCACUCUGGGCCGAUACUGACACUGAGGAGCGAAAGCGUGGGGAGCGAACAGG
rnacentral:rRNA from 1 species